UCCUCUUCCAUCAGCCUCCACUGCCUCCCUCUCCUCCUCAUUUUCCUCUACUCCUCAGCACUCCUCUGUUCCUCUCGCUGUGCUGGCCCUUGUUCCCUCCAUAAUUGGAGUGCUGCUGCUGGUUGUACUGGUUGUACAGGUGAGACGAUGUGUCCAGAGGAAACCUGAAGACAGAGAUCCUGCAGCAGCUGCUACCUCCUCAUCAGUGAGAAGAACUUCAGCAGAUGGUCGAGACGAGUCAAACCGAAAAAGAGAGAGCGAUUCAGCUGCAGUGCAGAGAACAGCUGACAUCACUUAUGGAGACAUCACCAUCAGGACAAACAGCAGACACAGAGAUCUUCCACCAGAGCCAGCCAUCAUCUACUCCUCACUGAAGCCGAGCCACACACCUUCACCACAGCUUAACCAGUCUACCCAGUGACGUCCAGCUGGCUGCCAAACACAUCCCUGCACUCCUCUCUAUAUUAUUUAUUCAAUCAUAUUCUGUGUGUGUUUACAGCUGUACAGCUGCACUGGACCAGUUUGAAUGUAGAGCUCAGGAUGAAGUGGAAAGUUUGUUUGUCUUUAAUAAAAGAUUUUAA